rnacentral:rRNA from 1 species
UACGUAGGGUGCGAGCGUUAAUCGGAAUUACUGGGCGUAAAGCGUGCGUAGGCGGUUUGUUAAGUCUGUUGUGAAAUCCCCGGGCUCAACCUGGGAAUUGCAUUUGUGACUGCACGGCUAGAGUGUGUCAGAGGGGGGUAGAAUUCCACGUGUAGCAGUGAAAUGCGUAGAGAUGUGGAGGAAUACCGAUGGCGAAGGCAGCCCCCUGGGAUAACACUGACGCUCAUGCACGAAAGCGUGGGGAGCAAACAGG